rnacentral:rRNA from 1 species
UGCGUAGGGUGCGAGCGUUAAUCGGAAUUACUGGGCGUAAAGCGUGCGCAGGCGGUGAUGUAAGACAGGUGUGAAAUCCCCGGGCUUAACCUGGGAACUGCAUUUGUGACUGCAUCGCUGGAGUGCGGCAGAGGGGGAUGGAAUUCCGCGUGUAGCAGUGAAAUGCGUAGAUAUGCGGAGGAACACCGAUGGCGAAGGCAAUCCCCUGGGCCUGCACUGACGCUCAUGCACGAAAGCGUGGGGAGCAAACAGG